UAGUUCGGAUUGUAGGCUGCAACUCGCCUACAUGAAGCUGGAAUUGCUAGUAAUCGCGGAUCAGCACGCCGCGGUGAAUACGUCCCCGGGCCUUGUACACACCGCCCGUCACACCAUGAGAGUCUGUAACACCCAAAGCCGGUGGGAUAACCUUUAUAGGAGUCAGCCGUCUAAGGUAGGACAGAUGAUUAGGGUGAAGUCGUAACAAGGUAAC
rnacentral:rRNA from 1 species